GUGCUCCCUUUGGCAGCACAUAUACUAAAAUUGGAGCGAUACCGAGAAAAUUAGCAUGGCCUCUGAGCAAGAAUGACACACAAAUUCAUGAAGCAUUCCAUAUAUAA
ensembl:snRNA U6 U6 spliceosomal RNA